rnacentral:lncRNA from 7 species
CUCCUCUUUCGUAGAGAAAAAAUGUGAACCGAGCUGUUUACAGAUCGAUGUGGAGAGCUCAUUAUACCGCUGACCUCAUUCUGCUGGAAGGGGAGCUGGCUCAGUCUACAGCCUGGUCUCUUGAAGGUCGGCCACGUGUGCAGUGGUAAUUUAGGAGGUCUCUGCUCCGACUUGUCUUCAUUGCCUCUCUCCCAGAGGGUGGCUGACGCAGAACAAAGCUUUUGGAUUUUACUAUGGGGAAGCAUAAGUCAUCAGAAGCUCCUGUAUUAUACAGCUGAUACAUGCUUUUGCAGCCUCUUGAUGGUUUUUCUGAACAGUAGGAAGUGUUCUAUAUUAUAGAAACCUCAUUUUUAGGUAGGUGCUGGACAGCAUGGAAUCCUGCAAGAUGGCUCCCAACACUUGUGUGCUUGCAUUGAUGGAGCUCUUUGAGCUUUCUUUUCUAAACCAUAACUUCUUUUAGUUCUAUUGUAUUGUAUUGAAAUGCCCUAUUUAAAUGACUAGAAAGUGACUUGUAGGUACAGAUUGUAUAGGUUUCAGUCAACAAGGGUGUUCCAGAAUGACUAUCAUCUAUAACCAAUACAAGUCUUCUCAAUUGCCCUCAGAAUCCAACAGUCAGGAUCGGGUAGCUUUGUUGUAGUGGAACUAUGAAUAUUUUAUUACAUGAAUCAGAUGGUGAAUUUAUCCAGUGAAUAUCAAGAUCAUUUCAAUAACAUCUCAUUUUAGCAUUUGAUCGACUUGUUUAGGUUAAUUUUCUGUGCUAACAGUGUUUACAUAAUACAUAAAUACUCUGAUACCUGUAUUAAUGUAGUGUAUUACCUCCUGAACGCAUUGUAGGCUCUUAAGCACUUAAUCAAAUUCCUUGGGAUUAUCUUCUGCAUCCUCUUUUGUAGGCGGGUUUGUAGACCAGUUUGACCAUUUCUAUCUGGGGAGGGCUGUUUAACCUGAGCACAUAUGGGACUUGUUGUUCUGCUACUACAAAUCCAGUGAAGGUACAUCUCCUUUUAGGAGUGUGAUUGCUGCAUGCUCACAUUUGAAAGAGCAUUAGGUCUUUUUUUUUUUAAAGUAGGCAUCCCCUGUGACAUUUUAUCCUUUAUUUAUCCUCUAUUUAUAUCCUUGAUAUAAGUGUUUCGUGUUCUAUUUCAACAGUUAUAUUUCAGUUCAUUUCUGUUCAUUUAUUUACAUGGUUAAAAAGUAAAUUUUUUGCUCUUCUACUUUGUAAACAUUUUUAAAUGCCCCAAAAAAAUGUUAUCUACCAUAAAUAGAGCAUUUCCCAGCUGUAUGUUCAUGCAUUUAUUUUGGUCUUAAAUUCCUUUCCAAUGUGUAGUGAGUGCAAUACAUUACUGCAAAUUGCUUGGUUUUGGCAGGCGUUACACUGAGCCCCUUGUACUGAUCCCUUUCCUUGUGUUAGGAUUUUUUUUUUUUACAUCUACAGCAAAUAAAACUUUUCCUUCUAUUUAG